rnacentral:rRNA from 1 species
AGCCCAAGAUUGAAAGCUGGCGUCUUCGGCGUCCGCAUUGUAAUCUCAAGAAGUGUUUUCCGCUUCGGACCAAGCCUAAGUCCCUUGGAAAGGGGCAUCAUAGAGGGUGAUAAUCCCGUACAUGGCUUGGAGCGCCCGAGGCUUUGUGAUACGCUUUCUAAGAGUCGAGUUGUUUGGGAAUGCAGCUCAAAAUGGGUGGUAAAUGCCAUCUAAGGCUAAAUAUUGGGGAGAGACCGAUAGCGAACAAGUACAGUGAUGGAAAGAUGAAAAGAACUUUGAAAAGAGAGUUAAACAGUACGUGAAAUUGCCAAAAGGGAAGGGUAGGAGGUCAGAGAUGCGGCCUGGGAUUCAGCCUUGCUUUUGCUUGGUGUUUUUCCCAGAUUGCAGGCCAACGUCGGUUUUGGGCACUGGAGAAGGGUAGGAGGAACGUGGCACCUCUCGGGGUGUGUUAUAGCCUCCUACUGGAUACAGCGACCGAGUACGAGGACAGCAGCGUACUCGCAAGAGCGG